rnacentral:rRNA from 1 species
CACGUAGGCGGGUCUUUAAGUCAGGGGUGAAAUCCUGGAGCUCAACUCCAGAACUGCCUUUGAUACUGAAGAUCUUGAGUUCGGGAGAGGUGAGUGGAACUGCGAGUGUAGAGGCGAAAUUCGUAGAUAUUCGCAAGAACACCAGUGGCGAAGGCGGCUUACUGGUCCAUUACUGACGCUGAGGUGCGAAAGCGUGGGGAGCAAACA